rnacentral:rRNA from 1 species
UACGAAGGGGGCUAGCGUUGCUCGGAAUCACUGGGCGUAAAGGGUGCGUAGGCGGACUCUUAAGUCAGGGGUGAAAUCCUGGAGCUCAACUCCAGAACUGCCUUUGAUACUGGGAGUCUUGAGUUCGGGAGAGGUGAGUGGAACUGCGAGUGUAGAGGUGAAAUUCGUAGAUAUUCGCAAGAACACCAGUGGCGAAGGCGGCUCACUGGCCCGAUACUGACGCUGAGGUGCGAAAGCGUGGGGAGCAAACAGG